UUCCAUUGGAAGGCCCAACACAGUUUGAGCACUGAAAUAACUUACCAUCAAAGUGAAUGUUUUCCUCCUGAUCUUCUGCUUCAACUUGUUUCCAGAUCUUUCCUCCCUUGUACAUUAAGGAAAGAAUACAUAAUUAAAAAAAAAUUACUUUGCACAUUCCAUGACUCAACUGAUUUCUUUGCAAAUGUGCAAAAAAUAUUUGUUUCAGAGAGACUGAGAAGAAUGCCAACAGGACAUCUGAAAGUCACAUUUAGACAGCUGAUCUGAGACAAGUCUGAACACUCAGUGUUGAUAAUCUCAAAAUUUGAAGCUUAAAAUGCUGGAUAGAAACUCAGAAACGAUCAGAUUAAAAGAGAAGAAAACUAGAUUUGGGUCUCUCUCCUAAUGUGUUCAUCACAUCCUGAAGCCUCCUGGCUCACAACAGCAAUAUUACCAAUAUGUUAUGUUUGAGUUUCUUCUGUUUCUUCUGUCCAUUCCCACCUGUAGAUCAUUAUCUAUGGUUGUCCAACACUGCAGUUUCAGAUUCUCCUGACUCUUGAAAAAUUAAUGCAUUCAUUAUCCUUAUUCAUUACAAUAUUUGUCCAUCUUUGAAUCCUGCAAAUUAUUAUGCUUUGUUCAGUUAUCAUGCCACUUUUGUCAGUCCAGCUCUGUGUGCCCUCCAGCUAACCUUUUCUGCUCUCCAGGUCCCUAACUGAGGUGACACUCAGAGUUGCCUACACACUUAUACUCAAUGC
rnacentral:lncRNA from 1 species